AAUUACGAAACAAUACACGUGGAGUGAACCGUAUUACCCUUUGUCGAUUGCGGUCCAGACAAGAGAAAUACGUAAACCGAUACACGAUAUAUUGCCAGCAUUAUGUAGUGCGGCCCGUAAUUGAGUUAUCCAGCGAGUUAAUCCGAAUGAGUAGUUAUAUGGGCGAGUAGUUAGUGAUUAUAUUAGCUGGGAUACAUCACUUGCGUCCAGAAUGCAGCCCUCGUGCCGCUCCAAGCUUCUUCACAAAUCGAUUAUCUCUGGCCGUCUCGCAUUCCACGGAUAUCGUCUUGAUCUCGAUUCCUAUAGGAAGAUGUCAUAAUUAGAUGUGGCGGGACAGAAAUCGAGCGUGAAAUGGUUACCACACGGAGCAGUUGUCUCGUGAACAAACGAAAUAGCAGAUCGCCGGCCGGCGUUUGGCGGAAAAUUGGCUGGCGCAACUGAAUAUAGCAUGCUCGUAACUUUAGAUAGGUCUACGUUUAUUACCAGCAGAGUGAAAUAGUAAAGGUCAUGUAAACUAUUUUUAUUGUUCCUCGCAUUUCUAUCACGUUUAUAUAAAAGGAUUACAUUUUGUUUCGGCUUAAUUUAAUGAGUAGGGAUGAACAAGACCUUCAUUAAAUAAAAAUUAAGUGCAUUUAAUCUUGUAUACCUAUCAUUUUAUACAUAUGCGUAAUUAAUUAUUAUGUAAGUCUA